CUGAGAGACUGAACGGAACUGAAUUCACUCUGCAUAAUAGGCUCUGGGUUCAUCCAUCUUAUUAGAACUGACUCAGAUGUGUUCCUUUUUAUUUCUGAGUAAUAUUUCCAUCGUAAGAAACGGUUUUCGAAAAGGACUGGCUGUGACUACCCCUGGCCCUCGCCCCCAGCUCAGCCCAGAUGAAGCAGAUUGGAAAGCCUAUCUCUACCUUUCUCUGAAAGAGGCCUCUUCAUACAUCACAAGCUGCUGCCUGAGGGUCAGAUUCCUAAUGCAGCACAUCUGUGGGGGCUGACUGAGUUCCUCCCCUGAGACUGAGGAGGCCAGUGGGUGAGAACUAUCUCCGAACUCUCUCUCCAGCCUGCUCCAGGACGCCGGUGUCUCCACUGUAUUUGCUGGAAUAUUUCCACAGAGAUGUCAAACUGCCCUUCAGAAAGGACAUGAGAUGAAACUAUCAGUGACAUUAUUUCUCCUCUCAAAAAUUUUCCUGAAAAAAGAAAUCUGAGAACCCUCAGGAGGCUCAUUGAUGUUCAUGAUCAGAUUUCAUGAGGUUCAGAGGAAUUAGGAAAUGGAUCACUGUGAAGGAUGUCUUUACACGUGCAAAAAUCCACUGGAAACAUGAGUGAGUUAUCUUUGGUUGCUUCUUCCAAACUUCAUGCUUCCACACAAGUCCUAAAGGAGCAGAGGUCAGAUGACUCAAUUAUUAUUAUUUUUUUUGAUGACUUGUGUAUUCUGCUUUAGGAAACUAAAAUAGAAUGGCCUAAACUGAGGGUGAUAUCAGGAACAGUAGCCCAAGAAUCAUGAUCUUGUUUUUCAUGUCCCAUUCUCCUUCUACACAUUUCUGAAUAACUAACACUUACUCCUUGGAAGGAAAGUUUUGACCAACCUAGAUAGCAUAUUAAAAAGCAGAGACAUUACUUUGCCAACAAAGGUUCGUCUAGUUGAAUCUGUGGUUUUUCCAGUAGU